GUGGGGAAUAUUGGACAAUGGGCGAAAGCCUGAUCCAGCCAUGCCGCGUGAUAGAUGAAGGCCCUCUGGGUUGUAAAUAUCUUUUAUCUGGGAAGAAACUCCUCUAUUCUUAGAGGCCUGACGGUACCAGAGGAAUAAGCACCGGCUAACUCCGUGCCAGCAGCCGCGGUAAUACGGAGGGUGCAAGCGUUAUCCGGAUUCACUGGGUUUAAAGGGUGCGUAGGCGGGUUGAUAAGUCAGUGGUGAAAGCUCCGGGCUUAACUUGGAAACUGCCAUUGAUACUGUCAGUCUUGAAUGUCGUAGAGGUAAGCGGAAUGUUGCAUGUAGCGGUGAAAUGCUUAGAUAUGUUACAGAACACCAAUUGCGAAGGCAGCUUACUAUGCGAUAAUUGACGCUGAGGCACGAAAGCGUGGGGAGCAAACAGGAUUAGAAACCCGGGUAGUCC
rnacentral:rRNA from 1 species